rnacentral:rRNA from 1 species
AUGAACGCUGGCGGCGUGCCUAAUCCCUGCCAGUCGAGCGAACGGACGAGAAGCUUGCUUUUCUGAUGUUAGCGGCGGACGGGUGAGUAACACGUGGAUAACCUACCUAUAAGACUGGGAUAACUUCGGGAAACCGGAGCUAAUACCGGAUAAUAUUUUGAACCGCAUGGUUCAAAAGUGAAAGACGGUCUUGCUGUCACUUAUAGAUGGAUCCGCGCUGCAUUAGCUAGUUGGUAAGGUAACGGCUUACCAAGGCAACGAUGCAUAGCCGACCUGAGAGGGUGAUCGGCCACACUGGAACUGAGACACGGUCCAGACUCCUACGGGAGGCAGCAGUAGGGAAUCUUCCGCAAUGGGCGAAAGCCUGACGGAGCAACGCCGCGUGAGUGAUGAAGGUCUUCGGAUCGUAAAACUCUGUUAUUAGGGAAGAACAUAUGUGUAAGUAACUGUGCACAUCUUGACGGUACCUAAUCAGAAAGCCACGGCUAACUACGUG